UACGAAGGGGGCUAGCGUUGCUCGGAAUGACUGGGCGUAAAGGGCGCGUAGGCGGAUGCACAGUCAGAUGUGAAUUCCCGGGCUUAACCUGGGGCGUGCAUUUGAUACGUGUGAUCUAGAGUGAGGAAGAGGGUCGUGGAAUUCCCAGUGUAGAGGUGAAAUUCGUAGAUAUUGGGAAGAACACCGGUGGCGAAGGCGGCGACCUGGUCCUUGACUGACGCUGAGGCGCGAGAGCGUGGGAGCAAACAGG
rnacentral:rRNA from 1 species